UGGGGAAUCUUCCGCAAUGGACGAAAGUCUGACGGAGCAACGCCGCGUGUAUGAUGAAGGUCUUCGGAUUGUAAAGUACUGUCUUUAGGGAAGAACGGUCAAUUUGAGAAUAUUGAGUUGACAUGACGGUACCUAAAGAGGAAGCCCCGGCUAACUACGUG
rnacentral:rRNA from 1 species